AAGCUAAUUAUAUAAAAGUGCAAAUUUUAUUUUGAGGUAGCUCUUAGCUUU
rnacentral:tRNA from 1 species